GCGUGAUGUCAUCGGAUUUCUGGUGUGGCGCGGAAGCGUGUAAGGGUGUGGAUUGAGGAAACCUGCGAUACACUGUUACAGAGUGUGCUGUAUAAGAUCACGACGGAGCUUCCUGUGUACCACGAGUUGUAUAGACCGUUGCCAACUUAAGGCCAGGACCAAGCUUUGAGAGACGUUGCAGUGGUUUUUUUUCGUGGGACGCUGUCGGCUGCACGCUCGUAUAUAGACACUGGUGCUGUUAUUUUCUGGGCAGCCGUGGAGUGCUGACCGCCUCGUUCUACGGCACGGUACCCAGACUAUCAGUGCGUCUGUUUCAGCGCGGGCUAUACCGAAUAUCGACCGAACGGAGAUCCAGGUUUAUUAAACAGUCCAGUCCAUGGGGAAAACAAAUAAAAAUGUCCCUGUAAGUACAAAAUGGUUGUAAAUGGCAGUUUUAUAAUGAAAUGUUUGGUGCUUGGCACUAAAAAGCAUGUUCAAUUUUUGCUAAAACAGUUAAA